AAUUUUUAUUAUAUAAAGAAAAAUGAUAAGACUAAUGGAGACACUAUAAUAAAAACGGUAUAUAGCGACACUUUUAAAUAUCGGUUCAGGUCAAAAAAAAUACUGCUGGCUAAAUUACCAACACUUUUAAAAAAUAUUGCUAUAUGUGGGGUCGUUAGGUAUAUAAUGACAGUUAAAUAGUGUCGGUAUAACUUAAAAAAAGUGCUGCUAAUUUAUCAACACUUAUUUAAGUAUUUAGCAACCGCCGGAACUCUAUCUCGUUAGCUGCGGUGACGGAGGAGGAGGAGAAGGAAGGACUUUUCGUCUAGGAUUUUAGUGGAUUGAGUGAGGGGAGAAGAGGAGAUGGUAAUUGAUUUUUUUUUUUUUUUCUAUUUGUAAUCGGACCAAAUGGACUGGGUGGAAUAGGUUGAGUAGAGUAACCUUUUAUUUUUGGUUGGAUUAAGUUUUAUAUUUAGGCAUUAGUAGAUUUUUUUUAAAGUUUUGGUAUAAAUGAGAUAUUUACAUAUAAGUGUCCCAAACAUGUAUUCCUAUAACCUAAUUCUGUUGUAGUGAAAAGUACUAGUGUUCUUUGCACGACAGUAGUAUAAAAUUUAUAUUUAGUUUAGAAAUGUACAGAUAACACUAUUUAAUAA
rnacentral:lncRNA from 1 species